AUGCUGAGGGACUCAUUCCAGAUGUCAAUCUGAGGUCCAGAUGAGUGGUUCUGUAAUAGGGCAAAUAAGACUCUCAGAGCUUGUCAAUAUUUGGUGACCUCUGUAAUGACAAUACUGAUAUAAAUAUGUGUUUUCUUUUUCUCAGAAAAUAAUAUUAGCAGUCUAUAUUAUAUACUUUUUUAAGAAAAUGUUUUUUAUUUAUUUGAAAGGCAGAGUUAGGAGGAGAGACAGAGAGAGAUCUUCCAUCUACUUGUUCACUCCCCAAAUGGCUGCAACAGCUGGGGCUGGGCCAGGCUGAAGCCAGGAGCCUGGAGCUUCUUCUGAGUCUCCCAUGUGGAUGCAGGGGCUCAAGGACUUGGGCCAUCUUCUGCUGCUUUCCCAGGUCCAUUAUCCGGGAGCUGAUUCAAGUAAACCAGCCAGGUCUAUGAUCCAGCACCCAUGUGGCUUAACCAGCUAUGCCACAACACCAGCCCCAAUCUUAAGUAAUUUUUAUAGUCUCAGUGACUCAAGACUUGCUUCAAUUUGCUCACUGUGAACAAAGAGUGUAGAUAGAUACUGUAUAUAGGAAAUAUUAAUUAAUGAGUGAGAAAAUAUUGCAUUGAAAAUGGAUUGUGCAAAAUAUUAUGGGUUCUGCAAGUCUUAUUAAUGUUGGACUGAAGAAAGUUAUCACCAAAUGUCUAUAUUAAAUGUUGACAAUAGAAACAAUUUUAGUGCUUUGUUAUUUUUACUCUUAAGUAUUUUCUGAGAUUAUUUCUUUUCUUUCUGUUUUGAUUUGCUGAGGUAGAGGAGUAUUAGAAUGUGUUCUUCCACUUCAGAGAAUAGGGGACCGGUCGCUGAUGUCAAGGUGGCCAGUUCAUGGCGAGAAGAAAUAUGCACUGAAGAGGACUUGAGGCCCUACAAGAUGCUAGAAUUCAAACUGCCCUUGGUGAGCGGGAAGUUCUUGGAUCGAUGAGGAUGGGCCAUUUGCUGAUGUCGACGAGGCCGCGCAGGGCGGGAAGAAGUAUGCUUCUGCUGAGGACUAGAGGCCCUACAAGACACUAGAAUUCAAACUGCCCUUGGUGAGCGGGAAGCUCCUGGAUCUCUGAGGACGGACUGGUCGCUGAUGUCGACGAGGCCACGCAGGGCAGGGAGAAGUGUGCUUCUGCUGAAGACUUGAGGCCCUAGAAGACGCUAGAAUUCAAACUGCCCUUGGUGAGCGGGAAUUUCCUGGAUCUCUGUGGACGGACUGGUCGCUAAUGUCAACGUGGCUGUGCAGGGUGGGAAGAAGUGUGCUUCAGAAGAGGACUUGAGGUCCUACAAGACGCUGGAAUUCAAACUGCCCUUGGUGAGCGGAAAGCUCCUGGAUCUCUGAGGACGGACCAGUUGCUGAUGUCUACGAGGCCAUGCAGGGCAGCAAGAAGUGUGCAUCUGCUGAGGACUUGAGGCCCUAGAGGAUGCUAGAAUUCAAACUGCCUUGGUGAGCGGGAAGUUCCUGGAUCUCUGAGGACGGACUGGUCGCUAAUGUCAACGUGGCUGUGCAGGGUGGGAAGAAGUGUGCUUCAGAAGAGGACUUGAGGUCCUACAAGACGCUGGAAUUCAAACUGCCCUUGGUGAGCGGGAAGCUCCUGGAUCUCUGAGGACGGACUGGUCGCUGAUGUCGACGUGGCCGUGCAGGGUGGAAAGAAGUGUGCUUCUGCUGAGGACUUGAGGCCCUACAAGACGCUAGAAUUCAAACUGCCCUUGGACCGGUCGCUGAUGUCGACGUGGCCGUGCAGGGUGGGAAGAAGUGUGCUUCUGCUGAGGACUUGAGGCCCUACAAGACGCUAGAAUUCAAACUGCCCUUGGUGAGCGGGAAGUUCCUGGAUCUCUGAGGACGGACCGGUCGCUGAUGUCAGUGUGGCCGUGCAGGGUGGGAAGAAGUGUGCUUCUGCUGAGGACUUGAGGCCCUACAAGACGCUAGAAUUCAAACUGCCCUUGGUGAGCGGGAAGUUCCUGGAUCUCUGAGGACGGUUCAGUUGUUGAUAUCGAUGUGGCCAGGGAAGGGCCAGAAGUGUUUCUGCUGAGGACUUGAGGCCCUCCAAGACGCUAGAAUUCAAACUGUCCAUAUUGGGCAGGAAGUCCCUGUAUCUCUGAGGACGAAUGGCUUCUAAGAGGUUCACAUCUCAAGUGCAUUCCUGGCCUGCGCCCAAUACUAAGGGGGAUUUUUGCCCAGUGGCAUGGCUUCUAAGAAGAUGCAACUUGUACAUUUCUUCUGAGAACCGGAGGCACUUGGACACCAUGGAAUCCCUGUGCCCUGUGGUGGGCUCCAUUUCAUUAGAGCUCCAAGGAUGGGGAGUUGAGAUCAGUGGCAUUUCUUCUGGAAUGACGCAAGAUGUACCCUUGGCUGAGUACUGAAGGCACUGGAGGGCGCUGGAAUCCCUGUGUCCAGUAGGAGGCUCCAUUUCGUUGGAGCUCUGAAGAAGGGGAAGUUGAGGUUGGUGGCAUUUCUUCUGGGAUGACACAGAUGUACUCUUUGUUGAGGACCAGAGGCACUGGAGGGUGCUGGAAUCCCUGUGGCCUGUGGUGGGCUCCAAUUUGCUGGAGCAAGAGAAUGGGGAGUUGAGAUCAGUGGCAUUUCUUCUGGAAUGACGCAAGAUGUACCCUUGGCUGAGUACUGAAGGCACUGGAGGGCGCUGGAAUCCCUGUGUCCAGUAGGAGGCUCCAUUUCGUUGGAGCUCUGAAGAAGUUCUAACACAAGGAGCUCUGUGGAGUUUCAGGGAACCUUUGGAUGGCACUUUCUAUGAGGCUUUAAGGGGGAGUUGAGGUCGGCAAUAUGUCUUCUGGGAUGAAGCUAGAUGUAUACUUCUCUUGAGGACCAGAGGCACUGGAGGGCGCUGGAAUCCCUGUGGCUUGUGGUGGGCUCUGUUUCUUGGAUUUCUAAGGAUGGGGAGUUGCGGCUGGCAACAUGACUUCUGUGGAGACACAAACUGCACUUUUCCUGAAGAACAGAGGCACCUGGGGGCCCUAGAAUCCCUGUGUCCUGCAGCGGGCUCCAUGUUGCUGGAGCUCUGAGGAUGAUGGUAUUGUGGACAGUGGCUUAGUCCUGCAGAUACACAAGAUGUAUGCUUCUCCUGAAGAUCAGAGGCAUUCUGAGGUGCUGGAAUACUUGUUGCCUGCAGCAGACCAGAAGUCACUGGAGCUUGAUGACAGUCCCUCCAUUGAUGAGUGAAGAAUAGGGCCAGGAUCCUCUGGCUCUCUUUGAGUGCUGACCAAGGAAGCUGCUAUGCCAAUGGAGAUGGUGUCCACUCUUGGAGCAUCCAACAUCAGAAGAGGCAUCAUUCCUGUGCAGUGAAUACUGGUAACCUUAAGGAAGGAUGUAUAUAUUCUGAAAUUCCUGAAGCUACCACUGAAAUCCUAGUCACAUACUGCCUUGGUUCACCUGGAGGCUGGUGGAUAACCAUGAUGAUGCCCAUGUGGUAUCAUCACAGAUUUUAUAUGAAAUAGUUACAUUUUUUCACCUUGAGAAGUGACAGAAUGGAGAGAAUAAUGAAUGCAUCUGACAUCAAGAAAUCCAGAGCCAGUUUGAAUACUCAACAUGAUUAGGUGCCACAUAAUUCCAUGAAAUCUCACCCCAAAUGCAAUGAAGUACUGAUUUUAUUAUUUAUACCAACAUAUCUGGAAAAGAGAAGAGACAAUACACUCCUGAGGUUUAUGUGGACCAAGUACUAAGGCAUAUGGAAGAGUUUGUUCCUUGAGAAUUAUGGAAAUAAUUUUGCUAACUUAUCCUCAGAGACCUUUAUUUUUGCAUAUUGAUGUGGGAAUUCUCAAAGAGUUCAAAGUGGUAUUGGAAUUGCAUGGAUUCCUUGCUGCCAUACCCAUGAAAGCUGACACCAGUGAAGAGCUUAUUUUGUCACUACAAACUUCCUUAUGAGCAGGAACAUGAUGAUGCAUUCUUGAGUUUCCCUAGAAACUCCUCAUAAUGGAAUGAGGCAUGGAGAAUGGUGGAGAGGCUGUUUGUCACUGGUGGCAAAGGGAUGUUUGGAUCUACUAAGGCUUGUGCUUACCUUAUCGCCAGUGAGUCCUCAAGAAUGUGACCUGAUGAGCAUCAGAGAGUUGAGUGGGAAGUGACUCAUGGUGAGAGGGGUGAUAAUAGAGGAAGGAAAGGAAUCCGCCAAUGCCCUUGCCUUAACUCUCAAAUGUUAGCACCUCGAAAUAGGCUGGAAAUUUACUUACUAGUCAACUGUUCUCUAUUCCUACCGAUGAUCUCUUGGAUACUCUUGCAGAAGAUGGCUUCCUGGGAACUUUUCUGGGAAUGUAUGAUUACCAGUAAAUUCCUGAAACAAGAGUCGUCCAGGAACCUCUUUGCCUACCUUUUGUCCAAGUGUCAUCCUCUGAUGAUGAUGACCACAAAAUGAAGCAGAUUUAUUGCAAAUGGUGCCAUUACUUCCACCACCAGCUUCACCAAAACAAUGAUACAAUCUUCCUUAUGCUUGGAGACUCUUUCCUGUCUGGCAGUGGAUACCUCCUGCAGAUAAGAAAUGCUUAACUGAGAAAUGCUCAUGUUGGGAUAUCAUCGAUGAGACUUUAAUUUGGGCAUGGUGACUGUUUCCCUUGCUGCCACUUGAAUCAAUCCCAGGAGCCUCAGUAGAGGAAAUAAUAUAACACAAGAAGCUCACAAUGGUGGAAUUUCUCAGUGCUCCCAUAAAUACACACUUAUAAUUUUCUUUUGCCACAUGGUAUUUUUUUUAAAAAAAUAGAAUAUAUUAAAAGAAGUGGUAUGAUUUUUUUCAAAAAUUCAAAGCAUAUUUAAAUAACUAAUAUAUAAAUUAAGUACCUUGCUCUCUUCCAAAUAUAUUCCCAUAGUUUACCUCUCUUAAGGGUCAUGUGCAUUUUUUAGUGGAUAGAUAUGCACGAACACACACACAAUCUAUUUUUGGGAAGGGUCUGUAAGUGGGGCCAUAUUGUAACACAUUUUGUGCAAAUUGCCUCUUUCAUUUAACAAUCUUUUCAAUGGCCUUUUUAUAUUUCAAUAAUACAUACACAUCUGUGUUGUUUGUUGAAUGACUGCAUGACUGCUUAGAUGAAAUAUUAUUAAAUGUUUUUAGCAUCUCUCAUUCAUAGAUAAUUAUGUUAGCACCAAAUUUUUGUGCAGUGAACCUCCCCAUAUACCAAAAAUUUGCAUUUGUCUAUUUUUCAUGAUAAAUUACUUAGCAGUUGAAAUGCUGGGAUUAAGGAUAUGCACACUUCAAAUUUUGAAAAAUAUUGUUAGAUUUCUAUUAAAAAUGUGAUUAACAGAUUUAUCUUCAAGUGGCAAUAAAUGAGAUUGCCAACUUUCUGGUAACCUAACAGAAAAUGAAUUUUAUAAAUAUUUAAGAUUUUUGCCAAUGUGAUCACCCAAAAUAUUGUCUUAAAUUGUAUUUCUUUUGUUUUUGAGUUUAAUCAUUUUUCAUAUGUUUAUUAGCCAUCUGUAUUUUUUAAUUUCCUCUUUAUGCCCAAUUCAGGUGAAUGGGGGAAAUUCCAGUAUCUUGGUUAUUUUAAAGAGCUCAUUUACUCUUGGGGAAAUAAGCUUUGGAUUGUCAAGCAUUACAGAUAUUUUUCCACACUUUUUAACUUUGUUUUUGUUACAAGAAUAUGUAUGAUUGUUAUAUGUCCAAGUAUAACCAUGUUUGCUUUAAUGGCUUCUGAGUUUCAUGUCAUUUUUGGAAAGAUAUAUAUUGAGCCCAUAAAACCCUUCACCUAUGUUAACUUCUAA